CUUUAUUGCGUUAACGAGCGAGAUCGAGGCUGAUAAAUAGUGAGCACAUGAGGAGUAUUAUGAAACUAGAGCGUCAAGCGGCGUCGCAGUGGCGUCAAAACUGCUGUCGGCGUCAUUGGCGAAGGCGUUUUUCUUUUCAUGCGCGGCGUUUGUCGAGAUCAAAAUCGGCGAAAACACUUUACGAUCACUUCUUAUUGGGAUUAUUCACGAUGAGUGAAAUGAAAUGCUCGGCAAGAACAGGUCUGAGAUGCCCUUAGAAACUAUGGACCGCACGCGAGUUACAAUGAUAAAACGAACGAGUUAGAAGACGUCUUUGGUGUGCGGCGUUUACGCGUCGCGCACUCGGAGCGUUUCAUAGCUGAUUUGAGAAAAUUGGCAAAACUGAUGAAAUUUUAUCUUGAUUGGGAUUGUAAAUUGGAAUUAUUUUAC
rnacentral:rRNA from 1 species